GCAAAUUGGUUAUUUCUGUAUAAUCAAAAUUUUUUCCUAAUGCCGUUACUAAUUACGGAGUCCUAACAAUAUAAUAUAUUUAAGGAAGAAGAAGAAGAAAAAAAAAAUGUUUAUACAAAAAAAAAAAAAGAAGAAGAACAAACAAAAGGUACUAUUACCUUUAACUUUAAGGCUGUUUUCUCUUACUUUUGUAGCCUUCUCUCUCUGUCUUUCCAGUCUUUGGUUUAACAAAUAGUUUCAAGCUUUUUGAUGAUUGAUUAGUAAUGGGUUAGACCAAAAAAAAAAAAAAGUUUAGCAAUGGGUUUG
rnacentral:lncRNA from 1 species